AUUGCCUAGAAACAGUAGACAAGGUGCACAGGUACAAUUCUGUCACAGAUAUAAUUCUGUCACCUUCCUAGGAAAGGAAGAAUGUGUCCAGGACUGUACACAGUGCUGCACAAUUCUUGGGGAGAAAUUCCAACACUGCUCCGCUGGCCAUCUGGUACCAUGGAUUUUACGGCACACACAUAAGCUGCACUCAACUACCAAUGGAGCUGUCAGGCUGUGUGAAAUCAAGGCCCAAUGAAAACCACUGGUCUCAAGACUGGAGGGUGGAAAAUAAUCCAUACCUUUAUCUUUAUCUCUCGCUCCUGUUGGCAACAGGUCUUGGCUCUGGGCAGGUACGGUGCUACUGGAACCUGUGUGAGAAGACUGAAUGAGAAGCACUGCUGGGCCACAAGCUCAGCUAGCUGGCAAUAUCCCAGUUUCUGUGGAGAAUUAUGUCCAUUACAUGUGUAAUUUUCCACUAGCACUCCACUGUUGCUGAUACAACAGAGGUGCAAUUACAGUUACAAACCCUAGCUAGUCAGAGUUACUGCCAGCCACUCAAAUACUGUUUUCAAUGCAGUACUUCAGGCAAUAAAACUGCAAUUCUCCCUCCCA